ACCAAUGUGUAAGAUGAAGGUGGGGAGACCCAGAGUGGCACCCAAGUGCGUGUGUGUAUUAGAGUGACCUGACUCCUAGGAAACACACACUGGAAAACCUGGAGACUGUGAUGAUGCCGCAACUAUAGAUCCAAAAGAUAUCGUAGGAAGUGACCGGCGUGUGUGUUCCUAGCUAUAGUCCAAUGGGAAGUGUGUUUUGGUUAGAGCCCUGGGCAGGGAACUGUUCAAGCAGGGUGGGCCUGAGUCUCCUUCAGCUCCCAUCUCUCCACCAUGUGGCAGCCCAUCAACUCUUGUCAUGGAGCUGAUGCUAUGCCUGCUUCAUGAGCUCAGCAUACCCAGCCUGUGUUGCAGAGCUGGGACCAGAACCAGGAGUCCAGCCUCAGUGAGCUCCUCUAACCAAGCACUCACCCCACAGCAGUAGAAAGCAGUCAAAUGUGGGCUAACUGCACCUCUGUGUUGUUCCUGGCUUGGUCUGAGUGCACUCCUGGGUGUAAAACCUCAUGAGUUCCCCCUGAGGAACAAGUCUACAGUUCUCUUCCAGAGCCUGGUCUAGGAGUGGAUCGCAUAUGCUUACCAACAGUUUGACUGCAUUCAGCACCUUUGGUUCUUCAGCCUCCCAAGCAGGUUCUUCUGUUGGUCUGGUGUCCCCCCCCAUGACCACUUCCUCUUUUCCGAGGAAGCCUUUUUUAAACUGCCAAGACGUUUUGUUCUUCAUUCUCAGACUUCUGGACAAAACUAGUCUUGCAAGUUAGUGGGAAAGGAAAUAUAAGGUCCUCAAAAAUAACCACUUAGGCACAGUUCCUUAACAACUCUGCUUUGCGGUGUUGAGAGGCAGAGGUCUGCCCAGGCCUAAUUAAGACCCUUGACCCAACCCUUUCAUCCAAACUUCUUUCAGGCCAUACUACAGUAGUUGUAUUCCACCAGGUGGCUCAGCCCUACAAAGGAAUGGCUUAUUUCAAGCAGUUUUCACCUCCUGCUUGUUUUGCCUUCCAGCCCCUAUUCAACCAAUCUUCAUACAGUAAACACCGUAAUUACCAUGUCAAUAUACAUAUUAAUGAAAAGUUUAUUUCAAACAAGAUGACAAAAUAAAAAUGGCUCUUUAAACUGACUGGCCAAUUUCUUGAAACAAACAAAGUAUAG